rnacentral:rRNA from 1 species
UACAGAGGUCUCAAGCGUUGUUCGGAUUCAUUGGGCGUAAAGGGUGCGUAGGCGGCGCGGUAAGUCGGAUGUGAAAUCUCGGGGCUUAACUCCGAAACUGCAUUCGAUACUGGCGUGCUUGAGGACUGGAGAGGAGACUGGAAUUCAUGGUGUAGCAGUGAAAUGCGUAGAGAUCAUGAGGAAGACCAGUGGCGAAGGCGG